rnacentral:rRNA from 1 species
GUGUCAGCAGCCGCGGUAAUACGUAGGUUGCGAGCGUUAUUCGGAUUUACUGGGCGUAAAGAGCACCGAGGUGGCUUCUUAAGUUGGAUGUAAAAUCUCCUGGCUUAACUGGGAGGCGCCAUUCAAAACUGAGGAGCUUGAGGUCAGCAGGGGAAGGUGGAAUUCCCGGUGUAGUGGUGGAAUGCGUAGAGAUCGGGAGGAACACCAGUGGCGAAAGCGACCUUCUGGGCUGCACCUGACACUCUAGUGCGAAAGCGUGGGGAGCAAACAGGAUUAGAUACCCCCGUAGUCC